rnacentral:ncRNA from 3 species
CGAAAGACUAAUCGAACCA